GACGAACGCUGGCGGCGUGCUUAACACACGCAAGUCGAACGAUGAAGCCUAGCUUGCUAGGUGGAUUAGUGGCGAACGGGUGAGUAAUACGUGAGUGACCUACCUUUGACUCUGGGAUAAGCCUGGGAAACUGGGUCUAAUACCGGAUACGACCAAUCUCCGCAUGGGGUGUUGGUGGAAAGCGUUAUGGAGUGGUUUUAGAUGGGCUCACGGCCUAUCAGCUUGUUGGUGAGGUAAUGGCUUACCAAGGCGACGACGGGUAGCCGGCCUGAGAGGGUGACCGGCCACACUGGGACUGAGACACGGCCCAGACUCCUACGGGAGGCAGCAGUGGGGAAUAUUGCACAAUGGGCGCAAGCCUGAUGCAGCGACGCCGCGUGAGGGAUGACGGCCUUCGGGUUGUAAACCUCUGUUAGCAUCGAAGAAGCGAAAGUGACGGUAGGUGCAGAGAAAGC
rnacentral:rRNA from 1 species